GAUGAACGCUGGCGGCGUGCCUAAUACAUGCAAGUAGAACGCUGAAGGAGGAGCUUGCUCUUCUGGAUGAGUUGCGAACGGGUGAGUAACGCGUAGGUAACCUGCCUGGUAGCGGGGGAUAACUAUUGGAAACGAUAGCUAAUACCGCAUGACAACAGUUAUUGCAUGAUAACUGUUUAAAAGGGGCAACUGCUCCACUACCAGAUGGACCUGCGUUGUAUUAGCUAGUUGGUGAGGUAACGGCUCACCAAGGCGACGAUACAUAGCCGACCUGAGAGGGUGAUCGGCCACACUAGGACUGAGACACGGCCCAGACUCCUACGGGAGGCAGCAGUAGGGAAUCUUCGGCAAUGGACGGAAGUCUGACCGAGCAACGCCGCGUGAGUGAAGAAGGGUUUCGGAUCGUAAAGCUCUGUUGUAAGAGAAGAACGAGUGUGAGAGUGGAAAGUUCACACUGUGACGGUAUCUUACCAGAAAGGGACGGCUAACUACGUG
rnacentral:rRNA from 1 species